rnacentral:misc_RNA from 1 species
AAUCCUCAAAACCUUUGUCCUUUGAUUAAGGAAAAGGGUUUUGGACUUGGAGGAUCAAUGCUCGCCCUUACUUUUCAAAGGCGAGCUCCUCUCAAAUGAAUUAGUGGGGUUUGCUUUGCUGAUCCUUGACGGUGAUAAGACAUCUCUACGUUUUGGAUUUGGCGACUGUCCCUCGCUUCUAACAGUCCUAUGGACGACGAUGGGUGCACCGGUCACCACCUUACAUCGGUGGGAGGCUGGACCCACAAAAAGGA